rnacentral:rRNA from 1 species
AGUGAACGCUGGCGGUAGGCCUAACACAUGCAAGUCGAACGGCAGCACAGUAAGAGCUUGCUCUUACGGGUGGCGAGUGGCGGACGGGUGAGGAAUACAUCGGAAUCUACUUUUUCGUGGGGGAUAACGUAGGGAAACUUACGCUAAUACCGCAUACGACCUACGGGUGAAAGCAGGGGAUCUUCGGACCUUGCGCGAUUGAAUGAGCCGAUGUCGGAUUAGCUAGUUGGCGGGGUAAAGGCCCACCAAGGCGACGAUCCGUAGCUGGUCUGAGAGGAUGACCAGCCACACUGGAACUGAGACACGGUCCAGACUCCUACGGGAGGCACCAGGGGGGAAUAUGGGACAAGGGGCGCAAGCCUGAUCCAGCCAUCCCGCGUGGGUGAAGAAGGCCUUCGGUUUUUAAAGCCUUUUUGUUGGGAAAAAAAAGCAGCAGGUUAAUACCCCGCUGUUCUGACGGUACCAAAAAAAUAAGCACCGGCUAACUUCGUG